rnacentral:misc_RNA from 1 species
CCGAGUCUACAACUCCCAAACCCCUGUGAACAUACCUAUACUGUUGCCUCGGCGGAUCAGCCCGCGCCCCGUAAAAAGGGACGGCCCGCCGCAGGAACCCUAAACUCUGUUUUUAGUGGAACUUCUGAGUAUAAACAAACAAAUAAAUCA